rnacentral:rRNA from 1 species
AGAGUUUCCGUGAGAUGUCGGGUUAAGUCCCGCAACGAGCGCAACCCCUAUUGUUAGUUGCCAUCAUUCAGUUGGGCACUCUAGCGAGACUGCCGGUAAUAAACCGGAGGAAGGUGGGGAUGACGUCAAAUCAUCAUGCCCCUUAUGACCUGGGCUACACACGUGCUACAAUGGCUGGUACAACGAGUCGCAAGCCGGUGACGGCAAGCUAAUCUCUUAAAGCCAGUCUCAGUUCGGAUUGUAGGCUGCAACUCGCCUACAUGAAGUCGGAAUCGCUAGUAAUCGCGGAUCAGCACGCCGCGGUGAAUACGUUCCCGGGCCUUGUACACACCGCCCGUCACACCACGAGAGUUUGUAACACCCGAAGUCGGUGAGGUAACCUUUUAGGAGCCAGCCGCCUAAGGUGGGAUAGAUGAUUGGGGUGAAGUCGUAACAAGGUAACCAAUCGAAUUCCCGCGGCC